rnacentral:rRNA from 1 species
AACGAACGCUGGCGGCAGGCUUAACACAUGCAAGUCGAACGCAUCGCAAGAUGAGUGGCAGACGGGUGAGUAACGCGUGGGAAUCUACCUAGUUCUACGGAACAACAGUUGGAAACGACUGCUAAUACCGUAUACGCCCUACGGGGGAAAGAUUUAUCGGAAUUAGAUGAGCCCGCGUAAGAUUAGCUAGUUGGUGGGGUAAUGGCCUACCAAGGCGACGAUCUUUAGCUGGUCUGAGAGGAUGAUCAGCCACACUGGGACUGAGACACGGCCCAGACUCCUACGGGAGGCAGCAGUGGGGAAUAUUGGACAAUGGGCGCAAGCCUGAUCCAGCCAUGCCGCGUGAGUGAUGAAGGCCUUAGGGUUGUAAAGCUCUUUCACCGAUGAAGAUAAUGACGGUAGUCGGAGAAGAAGCACCGGCUAACUUCGUGCCAGCCGCCGCCGUAACAC